GCAUCUGGAUAAGAAUUCAGGAGCUGAGCAUAUAAGUUACUUUUCUUGGUUUGAAGUGAGGCACAUGUUUGAAAAAGAGGGACUGCUCUUCAGUGCCUGUUAAGAAUUAGCUGUGUGUCUUUGUACCGCACUCAAGUAAAAUCUGCAAAAUAUCACAUUCCUGGAAGGUGGAUUAAUGAAAUUCUGAAACCAUCUAAAUAUGAUACACCUUUUAGACCAUCUCACUUAUGUUAAAAUUGUUACAGCCAUUUCCCCAUCAUGGCAAUCACAAACUUUUUGUGUGUGUGCAGAAAAAAAAGGAACAGGAAUUCAUGAAAUUUAAGUAAGUACUUCUCAACAUGUGGCAAAUCCAUCGGAUAGAUGUGAUAAAUCUUUUUCAGAGGGCACUCAGCAGAGCAGUGGUGCCUAUUCUCCUCCAACACCGCCUGGGCUCUAAUAACUUCUUAAUUCAGUGUAUAAUUGAACUUUGCAUCAGAACAAAGUUCCAAAGGUCCCCAGUGGGCAGUUUGUUUCUUGCUGAGCACAUUUUAAGCUUGCAUUUUGAGUUGUUUGCCUUACCCCUCUUUGAAUGCCAUGAAGCAGUUUACUAGAGCAGAAUUGCUUUUAUGUGUACUUUUCCCUUUCAAGUCCAUUUCUGGCUGGCUCUUCAAUAGUACAGCCAUUGGCAUGCGCUGUAAUGCUCCAGUAACUGGGCAAGCAAUUAGCGGAGCCAGACAAAUCUUCCUUCUUGCAGCAGGGCUUUCUUUGGUCUCUCCAAACACAGCAGGCCAAACAAUGAAGACCAUGGGAAGAGACCAAACAGCAAGUCACUUCUUUCUUUAAAAGAAACAAACUCAAAACAUUAUUAAUAGUUGCCAUUUUGUAGCUGAGGUCAAGAUGCUUCGGGAACCGUUGCUGUGAGGAUAAUGUGAGAGGGGAUGGCUGGAUGCCAUUCCAGCCUGGCAUUUUCUGUGCUUAACAUUUUUUUUUUUGUUUCCCUCCCUCCCUUGGAGUACAUCACCUUGGGGGCAAAGAUUCAGAUCUCAGAUCAAAGCAUGGCUAAGGGAAGAAGCCUCUGGAAAUCUCCACUGACAUGCAGAGAGCCCAGCUUGAAGGGGUGACUUGAAUGUGGAGCCAGGAUGGCUGUGGCCUGAAGACUCACCUUGGUUCAUUACUCUGAAGCUUCCUCCUCAGUCUGGUUUUGGUUUAGAAGCAAGGAAGUACCUAAUCCAAAAAGACAAGUCAAGAGUGAAAAACCACCAUGACCACAAAACGCUACCUGAAUGAAGAGAUGCUACGGGAUCAAGAUCUCUGUUAAAAGAUCUUACUACCUCCAAAUCUGGCUUCCACCAACUCUCUAACUCACUAUAUAUUUUGGCCGUGCAGAAACUCUGGAUGCAAAGUUUGGAUGAAAGUGAUUGAAUGGAAGGAUAUUCUCCACCCAAGGCUGGCUGGAUCCAGAUGACUCUAAAGCUCUAAUCAGAUGGAAGGUACCUGGGCCCCUGAGUCACCACAUGGAGAAGGGCUGCCCACUAACUAGGUGUACCUGCACUGAAGC